rnacentral:rRNA from 1 species
UACGAAGGUCCCAAGCGUUGUUCGGAAUCACUGGGCGUAAAGGGAGCGUAGGCGGCGUGGUAAGUCAGAUGUGAAAUCCCGGGGCUCAACCCCGGAACUGCAUCCGAUACUGCCAUGCUAGAGGAUUGGAGAGGUAGCUGGAAUUCUUGGUGUAGCAGUGAAAUGCGUAGAGAUCAAGAGGAACACUCGUGGCGAAAGCAAGCUACUGGACAAUUCCUGACGCUGAGGCUCGAAGGCUAGGGUAGCGAAAGGG